UACGUAGGUGGCAAGCGUUGUCCGGAAUUAUUGGGCGUAAAGCGCUCGCAGGCGGUCUUUAAGUCUGAUGUGAAAGCCCACGGCUCAACCGUGGAGGGUCAUUGGAAACUGGAGGACUUGAGUACAGAAGAGGAGAGUGGAAUUCCACGUGUAGCGGUGAAAUGCGUAGAGAUGUGGAGGAACACCAGUGGCGAAGGCGACUCUCUGGUCUGUAACUGACGCUGAGGAGCGAAAGCGUGGGAGCGAACAGGAUAGAU
rnacentral:rRNA from 1 species